UUUUAGAAAAGUAUAAAUAGAAUUAAGACUCAGAUGUGAAGUAAGUCUGGGCGAAUAGGCAACAUCUGACCAGCUUCUAUCUGUGGCACCAUGAACGCUAAACGAGCCUUAAACUUGGUGGUAUCUGCAGCCAUACUGGCACUUUCCUAUUACGUCCUAGGAGUUGAAGCCAUCUGUGAAGCUAGCAAGGGUUGCUUCUCCUGUUCUAACAAAACAAUCUAUGCAUGCUAGCCACCGAAACUGACACUAGCCCACACAUGACAUGGACACGCCUCUGAACAUUGGACACUAUUUUCUACAAGGACAUUUUUUUUUCUGUCUUAGAUUAUUGCAGAUGUUAUGAAUGAUCAUGUGAACUGUAAAGUACAAUUACAUAUGCAUAACAUUGUUUGAUUAUUUUGAUUUAUCUGCAUUCAAUCAUUUGUAUAAAAACAUUAAAGAAUAUCAGCUGAC
rnacentral:sRNA from 1 species